rnacentral:rRNA from 1 species
UUACCGAGUGAGGGCCCUCUGGGUCCAACCUCCCACCCGUGUCUAUCGUACCUUGUUGCUUCGGCGGGCCCGCCGUUUCGACGGCCGCCGGGGAGGCCUUGCGCCCCCGGGCCCGCGCCCGCCGAAGACCCCAACAUGAACGCUGUUCUGAAAGUAUGCAGUCUGAGUUGAUUAUCGUAAUCAGUUAAAACUUUCAACAACGGAUCUCUUGGUUCCGGCAUCGAUGAAGAACGCAGCGAAAUGCGAUAAGUAAUGUGAAUUGCAGAAUUCAGUGAAUCAUCGAGUCUUUGAACGCACAUUGCGCCCCCUGGUAUUCCGGGGGGCAUGCCUGUCCGAGCGUCAUUGCUGCCCUCAAGCACGGCUUGUGUGUUGGGCCCCCGUCCCCCUCUCCCGGGGGACGGGCCCGAAAGGCAGCGGCGGCACCGCGUCCGGUCCUCGAGCGUAUGGGGCUUUGUCACCUGCUCUGUAGGCCCGGCCGGCGCCAGCCGACACCCAACUUUAUUUUUCUAAGGUUGACCUCGGAUCAGGUAGGGAUACCCGCUGAACUUAAGCAUAUCAAUAAGCGGAGGAAAAGAAACCAACAGGGAUUGCCUCAGUAACGGCGAGUGAAGCGGCAAGAGCUCAAAUUUGAAAGCUGGCCCCUUCGGGGUCCGCGUUGUAAUUUGCAGAGGAUGCUUCGGGUGCAGCCCCCGUCUAAGUGCCCUGGAACGGGCCGUCAUAGAGGGUGAGAAUCCCGUCUGGGACGGGGUGUCUGCGUCCGUGUGAAGCUCCUUCGACGAGUCGAGUUGUUUGGGAAUGCAGCUCUAAAUGGGUGGUAAAUUUCAUCUAAAGCUAAAUACUGGCCGGAGACCGAUAGCGCACAAGUAGAGUGAUCGAAAGAUGAAAAGCACUUUGAAAAGAGAGUUAAACAGCACGUGAAAUUGUUGAAAGGGAAGCGUUUGCGACCAGACUCGCCCGCGGGGUUCAGCCGGCAUUCGUGCCGGUGUACUUCCCCGUGGGCGGGCCAGCGUCGGUUUGGGCGGCCGGUCAAAGGCCCUCGGAAUGUAUCACCUCUCGGGGUGU